AACGAAUAUACAAAGCUUUCUUCACUUAUGCUUACGAUUCCAAGGGGUGCUUCUUUAUAUCCAUUGGUCCCUUCCAUUAUAGAAUUGAAGCAUGACAGGAGACCUCAAAUGGAUAUUGUUGAUGUGGUUGGGAGAAUAAUAGAAGGCAAACGUGAUCGAUGUUGUUUUGAACUUUCUCUUCAAGAUAAGACUGGUCACACAAUACAAUUGUUUUUGUCUUCCCUGAAGCCUUCCGAUGUUAUACGUUCCAUUCGAGCCGUGCAAGAAAGGUCUAUCAUAUAUGUAUCACGUCUCAAGUUGGUUCAUCUAC